UCAGGAUUGAGAGAAUAAACCCACCACGUAGGAUGUUUCUGUUUCUGCUCUUUAUUAUUGCCUUCCACUACGCGACCUCGGUGACGAUCCACCAGACGCCGGCUUUCUCGGGAACUGACGGCCACAAGGUGACCCUGCGUUGCACAGUAGAGGGUAGUACCAGUGCUGAUAACUACUUGUACUGGUACCGACAAUACCCAGGAAAGGGUCCGGAGAACAUGUUUUACUCAAACACAGCUCCGUACGUCUUACCAGAGGAAAUGGUCGACGGUUUUACGGCGGAGAGACCCCAGAGCAACGAGUUCCUCCUGAAGUCCGACAAACUGGAGGCGAAUUCGUCGGCCGUGUAUUUCUGCGCCUGGAACCUCCGCUGCACCUUCCCAUCUUUAGCAGUAUUCCGUCUGGAGGAGCGAUUGCCCGACCCGAGGCAGGAGCAGACUGAGCUGCUGUUGAUCUUUCGCUUAUUUGCCCACCAGGAGACAAACGAUGUUCUUAUGUUGUCGUAUAACCACAACUUCUGCAUCGAGACGCCACCAAAUUCCCUGUGA